rfam:Picea glauca, whole genome shotgun sequence.
CUCAUGGAGAGUUUGAUCCUAGCUUAGGAUGAACACUGGCAGCAUGAUUAACACAUGCAAUUCAGACGGGAAGUGGUGUUUCUAGUGGUGGACAGGUGAGUAACGCAUAAGAACCUACCCUUGGAAGGGGAACAACAACUGGAAACGGCUGCUAAUACCCCAUAGGCUGAGGAGAAAAAGGAGGAAUCCACCCAAGGAGGGGCUCACGUAUGAAUAGUUAGUUGGUGAGGUAAUGGCUUACCAAGGCGAUCAUCAAUAGCUAGUCUGAGAGGAUGAUCAGCCACACUGGGACUGAGACACGACCAAGACUCCUACAGGAGGCAGAAGUGGGGAAUUUUCUGCAAUGGGCGAAAUCCUGACGGAGCAAUGUCGCAUGAAGGCAGUAGGCCCACGGGUCAUGAACUUAUUUUAUUGGAGAAGAAACAAUGAUGGUAUCUAAGGAAUAAACAUCGACUAACUCUGUGCCAGCAGUCACGGUAAGACAUAGGAUGCAAGUGUUAUCCAGAAUGAUUGGUCGUAAAACGUCUAUAGGUGGCUUUUCAAGUCCAUUGUCAAAUCCCAGGGCUCAACCUUGGACAGUUGGUGGAAACUACCAAGAUGGAGUAUGGUAGGGGUAGAUGGAAUUUUCGAUGGAGCAAUGAAAUGUGUUUAGAUCGAAAAGAACACCAACGGUGAAAGCACUCUGUUGGGCCGACACUGACACUGAGAGACAAAAGCUAGGGGAGAAAAUGGGAUUAGAUACCCCAGUAGUCCUAGCCGUAAACGAUUGAUAUUAAGUGUUGUGCGUAUUGAACCGUGCAGUUUUGUAGCUAAUGCGUUAAGUAUCCCUCCUGGGGAGUACGUUCACAAGAAUUAAACUCAAAGGAAUUGAUAGGGGCCAGCACAAGCGGUGGAGCAUGUGGUUCAAUUCGAUAAAAAGCGAAGAACCUUACCAGGGCUUGAGAUGUCGUGAAUCCUCUCGAAAGAGAGGAGUGCCUUUGGGAACACAGACACAGGUGGUGCAUGGUUGUCAUCAGCUCGUGUCGUAAGGUGUUGGGUUAAGUCCCGCAACGAGCGCAACCCUCGUGUUUAGUUGCCAGCAUUGAGUUUGGAACCCUGACCAGACUAUCGGUGAUAAGUAAGAGGAAGGUGAGGAUGACGUCAAGUCAUCAUGCCCCUUACGCCCUAGGAAACACACGUGCUACAAUGAUUGGGAAAAAGGGUCAUGACCCCAUGAGGGAAAUCUAACCUCAAAAACCCAACCUCAGUUCGAAUUGCAGGCUGCAACUCACCUGCAUGAAGCCAUAAUCGCUAGUAAUCGUCGGUCAUCCAUAUGACGGUGAAUUCAUUCCCGGGCCUUGUACACACCGCCCGUCACACUAUGGGAGCUGGCCAUGACCCAAGUCAUUACCUUAACUGGAAGGAGGGGGAUGUCGAAGGCUGGGCUAGUCACUAGAGUGAAGUCGUAACAAGGUAGUCGUACUGGAAGGUGCAACUAGAUCACCUCCUUU